GCUCUUUAGGUCUCCUCAGGCCACCUCGGACCUAGACUAGUUUUCCAGAAGGUCCUACAUGAACCAUUUCUUCAGAAUUCUGAGUUUGCUAGUGUGUGGACUUGGCAGAGAAGAGCAAACUAAAGAGAUUUGUUCUGGGCAGUGGUGGUCAUCAGACUGUGAACUUCAGAGGUUCGGGGUCACAUCUGUGGAAUUCUCCCUUCAGUGGUUUGGCACAACAUGCAAUUAGCUCUUUGAUCUGCUCUGGGUAGUGCUACUGGAGGCGUGAGGAAAUGUUGAGCAGGCAACUAGAAGGAAUUGAAGGAAGACUCCAACACACAGGAAAGGCAUGGAGAAGUGAAGCAAAGUCAAGAGUAACACACACAGGGAACGGCCCAUCUUAGGCCACAGCUUCUACAGACAGUUGAAAGGGGGCUGAGAAGGAACCAUUUCUCAGCCUCUUGUUGGUUGUCUUUUGCUAGAAAGAAUCAGGAUGCCUGCUCUCCACAGAUGACUGACCACAGAACACAGAGGGGAAGAGGGAGGGAAGGAGUUUCCACUGGGGUGCUAUAUUUCUGACCCUGCCUUGUUGACAGCAAACAGUGGCGGUGGUGGGACUUUUGGCAGGAAGCGUUCCCCUCUGGGGUCUGGGGGUGUCAGGAUGGUGCCAAGAGGUAGAGCAAGCCUGGCACCCCAGAGCCCCAGCUUCUUCCCUCUGCACCCUCGUGGAGGAGACUCCACAAGCUCUCCUGCCUCCUCCUGGGUUAGGGCAGCGGAGGGAGGACACGAGCCUGGUCUCCAGCAGGGGCCAUUUCGUUUACAUUCCCACCCCUGGGCCCUGGGAAGCCCCGAGUUCCCACACUCACUGAGGCAGGAAGGUCGCCACGGACACCUCAUCUGUCCGGGUCGCUGACUGACUACAGAUAAGCAGCAGCUGCCGCAUCCACACUGGGGUCACCUCCCAGAUUGCCCACCCUGGAACCAGGCGGACAAGGGCCGAUCUCUGCCCGCCAGUGGGGCACCCACAGGGCUUCCAGCUGAGGCCCAGUGCCUGCAGUGGGGGCUCCCUGCAGAACUCACUUUAGCAGAGCUGCCAGACGUGACCAAGGAAAGACAAAGCCUUAGAGGCACCGGCCCACAGCUGUCAAGCACUUGACAGUUUUACAGCACUCUGCUGCAGACUCUUUCUCACAUCACUCUGAUCACCACCCGUGAAGAUCUCAGAGCAGGUGUUUUUGUGUCCAUUUUGCAGAUGAGUAAACAGCUUCAGGAUGUUUGAUAGAUUUGCCCCAAGUUCUCACAGCUAGGCAGUGCUGAAAGCUGUUUUUGCACUGCCUAGUUGGUGGGUCUUUCCAUUACUACAUGCAAACAGAAC
ensembl:lncRNA